AUUGAACGCUGGCGGCAGGCCUAACACAUGCAAGUCGAGCGGAGCAGCAGCAGGGUGAGUAAUGACAAGGAAUCUGCCUGGGAGUGGGGGAUAACGACCGGUAACGGGAGCUAAAACCGCAUACUAUCAGAUGAGCCUAGCCCGGAUUAGCUAGUUGGUGGGGGAAAGGCCUACAGAGGCGACGAUCCGUAACUGGUCUGCGAGGAUGAGCAGUCACACUGGAACUGAGACACGGUCCAGACGCCUACGGGAGGCAGCAGUGGGGAAUAUUGGACAAUGGGCGAAAGCCUGAUCCAGCCCUGCCGCGUGUGUGAAGAAGUUCUUCGGAUUGUAAAGCACUUUAAGUUGGGAGGCGUUACCAGCAGAAUAAGCACCGGCUAACGCCGUGCCAGCAGCGGCAGUAAUUC
rnacentral:rRNA from 1 species